rnacentral:rRNA from 1 species
GGGUUAGUAGGCUGGUCGUGCCACUGGUAUGUACUGGUCUUACUGACUUCUCCUUUCUGAAGAACUGUAAUGCCAUUAAUUUGGUGUUGCAGGGAAUCAGGACUGUUACUUUGAAAAAAUUAGAGUGUUUAAAGCAGGCUUACGCUUGAAUACAUUAGCAUGGAAUAAUAGAAUAGGACU